rnacentral:rRNA from 1 species
AGUGGAUGGGGAGCAACCUAGUUGUGCGUGUGUAAAGGUAGUGCCAAGAAAAGCGAUGAUCAUGUUGAAAAUCAAUUCCCGGUACCCGAAACCGACACAGGUGGGCAAGUAGAGAAUACUAAGGGGCGCGAGGUAACUCUCUCCAAGGAACUCGGCAAAAUGACCCCGUAACUUAGGGAGAAGGGGUGCCACCGAGAGGUGGUCGCAGUGAAGAGGCCCAGGCGACUGUUUAGCAAAAACAUAGGUCUCUGCAAACUCGAAAGAGGAGGUAUAGGGGCUGACGCCUGCCCAGUGCCGGAAGGUUAAAGAAGUUGGUCAGUUUUAGGAUGAAGCUAGCGACUGAAGCCCCGGUGAACGGCGGCCGUAACUAUAACGGUCCUAAGGUAGCGAAAUUCCUUGUCGGGUAAGUUCCGACCCGCACGAAAGGCGUAACGAUCUGGGCGCUGUCUCGGAGAGAGGCUCGGCGAAAUAGGAUUGUCUGUGAAGAUACGGACUACCUGCAUUUGGACAGAAAGACCCUAUGAAGCUUUACUAUAGCUUGGAAUUGUGUUCGGGCUUCCUGUGCGCAGGAUAGGUGGGAGGCGUAGAAGGUAUUCUUGUGGGGAUACUGGAGCCAACGGUGAGAUACCACUCUCAGGAGGCUAGAAUUCUAACUUAAUUAAGGACAGUUUCAGGUGGGUAGUUUGACUGGGGCGGUCGCCUCCAAAAAGGUAACGGAGGCGUACAAAGGUUCCCUCAGACUGGUUGGAAAUCAGUCGAAGAGUGCAAAGGCAGAAGGGAGCUUGACUGCGAGAAGUACAGUUCGAGCAGGGUGGAAACACGGUCUUAGUGAUCCGACGGUGCUGUGUGGAAGGGCCGUCGCUCAACGGAUAAAAGUUACUCUAGGAUAACAGGCUGAUCUCCCCCAAGAGUUCACAUCGACGGGGAGGUUUGGCACCUCGAUGUCGGCUCAUCGCAACCUGGGGCGGAAGUACGUCCCAAGGGUUGGGCUGUUCGCCCAUUAAAGCGGUACGUGAGCUGGGUUCAGAACGUCGUGAGACAGUUCGGUCCAUAUCCGAUGUAGGCGUGAGAAUAUUGAGAGGAGCCUUCCUUAGUAUGAGAGGACCGGGAAGGACGCACCGCUGGUGUACCUGUUAUGAUGCCAAUUGUAAACGCAGGGUAGCCAAGUGCGGAGAGGAUAACCGCUGAAAGCAUCUAAGUGGGAAGCCCACCUCAAGAUGAGUAUUCUGGUGUAAGGUCACGGGAAGACGACCCGUAAAUAGGCACGAGGUGGAAGUGCAGAGAUGUAUGAAGCCGAAGUGUACUAAUAGACCGUCGGCUUGACC